CCUACGGGAGGCUGCAGUGGGGGAUAUUGCACAAUGGGGGGAACCCUGAUGCAGCGACGCCGCGUGGGUGAAGAAGCGCCGCGGCGCGGAAAGCCCUGUCAGCAGGGAAGAAAAUGACGGUACCUGAGUAAGAAGACACGGCUAACUACGUGACAGCAGCCGCGGUAAUACGUAGGGGGCAAGGGUUAGCCGGAAUUACUGGGUGUAAAGGGAGCGUAGACGGUGUUGUAAGUCUGGAGUGAAAGGCGGGGGCCCAACCCCCGGACUGCUCUGGAAACUAUGUGACUGGAGUGCAGGAGAGGUGAGCGGAAUUCCUAGUGUAGCGGUGAAAUGCGUAGAUAUUAGGAGGAACACCAGUGGCGAAGGCGGCUCACUGGACUGUAACUGACGUUGAGGCUCGAAAGCGUGGGGAGCAAACAGGAUUAGAUACCCCAGUAGUC
rnacentral:rRNA from 1 species